GUGGGGAAUCUUGCGCAAUGGGCGAAAGCCUGACGCAGCCAUGCCGCGUGAAUGAUGAAGGUCUUAGGAUUGUAAAAUUCUUUCACCGGGGACGAUAAUGACGGUACCCGGAGAAGAAGCUCCGGCUAACUUCGUGCCAGCAGCCGCGGUAAUACGAAGGGGGCUAGCGUUGCUCGGAAUUACUGGGCGUAAAGGGCGCGUAGGCGGACAGCUUAGUCAGAGGUGAAAGCCCAGGGCUCAACCUUGGAAUUGCCUUUGAUACUGACUGUCUUGAGUUUGGGAGAGGUGAGUGGAACUCCGAGUGUAGAGGUGAAAUUCGUAGAUAUUCGGAAGAACACCAGUGGCGAAGGCGACUCACUGGCCCAAUACUGACGCUGAGGCGCGAAAGCGUGGGGAGCAAACAGGAUUAGAAACCCGGGUAGUCC
rnacentral:rRNA from 1 species